rnacentral:rRNA from 1 species
GUUUGACCUCAAAUCAGUAGGAUUACCCGCUGAACUUAAGCAUAUCAAUAAGCGGAGGAAAAGAAACCAACUGGGAUUGCCUUAGUAACGGCGAGUGAAGCGGCAAAAGCUCAAAUUUGAAAUCUGGUACCUUUGGUGCCCGAGUUGUAAUUUGUAGAGUACCACUUUGGGACUAUACUUUGCCUAUGUUCCUUGGAACAGGACGUCAUGGAGGUGAGAUCCG